rnacentral:rRNA from 1 species
UACGUAGGGUGCAAGCGUUAAUCGGAAUUACUGGGCGUAAAGCGUGCGCAGGCGGUUUUGUAAGUCUGUCGUGAAAGCCCCGGGCUCAACCUGGGAAUGGCGAUGGAGACUGCAAGGCUAGAGUGUGUCAGAGGGGGGUAGAAUUCCACGUGUAGCAGUGAAAUGCGUAGAGAUGUGGAGGAACACCGAUGGCGAAGGCAGCCCCCUGGGAUAACACUGACGCUCAUGCA